UGGUGUGUAUUCACAAUGAGAUUGUCAC
rnacentral:piRNA from 2 species